UGACGGUACCUGACUAAGAAGCCCCGGCUAACUACGUGCCAGCAGCCGCGGUAAUACGUAGGGGGCAAGCGUUAUCCGGAUUUACUGGGUGUAAAGGGAGCGUAGACGGCGAUGCAAGUCUGAAGUGAAAGGCGGGGGCCCAACCCCCGGACUGCUUUGGAAACUGUAUAGCUGGAGUGCAGGAGAGGUAAGUGGAAUUCCUAGUGUAGCGGUGAAAUGCGUAGAUAUUAGGAGGAACACCAGUGGCGAAGGCGGCUUACUGGACUGUAACUGACGUUGAGGCUCGAAAGCGUGGGGAGCAAACAGGAUUAGAUACCCCCUGGUAGUCCACGCCGUAAACGAUGAUCACUAGGUGUCGGUGGGUAUGGACCCAUCGGUGCCGCAGCAAACGCAGUAAGUGAUCCACCUGGGGAGUACGUUCGCAAGAAUG
rnacentral:rRNA from 1 species